AGAGGAAGUAAAAGUCGUAACAAGGUCUCCGUUGGUGAACCAGCGGAGGGAUCAUUACUGAGUUUACGCUCUACAACCCUUUGUGAACAUACCUAUAACUGUUGCUUCGGCGGGUAGGGUCUCCGCGACCCUCCCGGCCUCCCGCCUCCGGGCGGGUCGGCGCCCGCCGGAGGAUAACCAAACUCUGAUUUAACGACGUUUCUUCUGAGUGGUACAAGCAAAUAAUCAAAACUUUUAACAACGGAUCUCUUGGUUCUGGCAUCGAUGAAGAACGCAGCGAAAUGCGAUAAGUAAUGUGAAUUGCAGAAUUCAGUGAAUCAUCGAAUCUUUGAACGCACAUUGCGCCCGCCAGCAUUCUGGCGGGCAUGCCUGUUCGAGCGUCAUUUCAACCCUCAAGCUCUGCUUGGUGUUGGGGCCCUACAGCUGAUGUAGGCCCUCAAAGGUAGUGGCGGACCCUCUCGGAGCCUCCUUUGCGUAGUAACUUUACGUCUCGCACUGGGAUCCGGAGGGACUCUUGCCGUAAAACCCCCAAUUUUCCAAAGGUUGACCUCGGAUCAGGUAGGAAUACCCGCUUAAACUUAAGCAUAUCA
rnacentral:rRNA from 1 species